ACUGCUCGCCGCCACACGCCGCCGCCGGCCGCCGCCUCCGCGCCUCCUGCCACCCUCACAGGUUGCUGGCGCGCUGGUAAUAGCGUCUGCGUUGACCGUCGCCAGCACGCCUCCUUCCAAACAAGCUCCUACCGAGGGGCGCGCGCUCCCUUUGUGUAAAGUUAACAACGUCAGAGACGCCGAGGCAUCCGAGCUUAAUGCGACUAACAACACUUCACAGAGGCUAGACGCUUUCAUCGGACCGCGGAGUAGAAAAAUCUUCUCCUUGCUCCUACAAUCGGGUAUGUGGGAUUUGAGGACGAAGAGAAUACUGAAGCUGACGGCAGUUGUGGGCGGCGUGUUCAUAAGAGAGCCAACAGAAUGACAACAGCAUCAAUGUCACAGCGACAACCUCCAUCACGAAGAACAGAGUUGCUGUUGCUGGUGAAAAUACUAAUGCCACUGGUGAUGCUUUAUUCCUGUUGAUAUCAGUUAACUGCUGCGGGUGCUGGAUGAAAGAAUAACAGUGGAGAAUUUACAGAGGAUGGAGACAUGCACAAUACGAUGAAUUUUGGUGGUGUCAGCACCUGCAUUUUGUAGGCCUACGUCAAGAUUACAGUCGCUCUGUCUAGGACUCAACAGGUCUCACUGCCCUACAGCCGUUGCUGUGUAAAUGAAACGGAGAAUGUUCUCUGAAAUGGCAGCAGCAAAACAUUCUUUUGUACUAACUUCCCCGUAAUCCGAAGACUUCAAAGGACAGGAACAUCCUAAGAAAUCAGUUCGUCGGCCUUUACACAUAUUAAAGAUAGUAAAAUACAUGAUACUUCACACUAAUAAAG